rnacentral:rRNA from 1 species
UGGGGAAUAUUGGACAAUGGGGGGAACCCUGAUCCAGCCAUGCCGCGUGUGUGAAGAAGGCCUUUUGGUUGUAAAGCACUUUAAGCGGGGAGGAGGCUACUAGUACUAAUAUUACUGGAUAGUGGACGUUACCCGCAGAAUAAGCACCGGCUAACUCUGUGCCAGCAGCCGCGGUAAUACAGAGGGUGCGAGCGUUAAUCGGAUUUACUGGGCGUAAAGCGUACGUAGGCGGCUUUUUAAGUCGGAUGUGAAAUCCCUGAGCUUAACUUAGGAAUUGCAUUCGAUACUGGGAAGCUAGAGUAUGGGAGAGGAUGGUAGAAUUCCAGGUGUAGCGGUGAAAUGCGUAGAGAUCUGGAGGAAUACCGAUGGCGAAGGCAGCCAUCUGGCCUAAUACUGACGCUGAGGUACGAAAGCAUGGGGAGCAAACA